rnacentral:tRNA from 1 species
CGGGCCGUAGCGCAGCCUGGUAGCGCACACCCUUGGGGUGGGUGUGGUCGCGAGUUCGAAUCUCGCCGGCCCGA